UACGUAGGUGGCAAGCGUUGUCCGGAUUUACUGGGCGUAAAGGAUGCGUAGGCGGACAUUUAAGUCAGAUGUGAAAUACCCGAGCUUAACUUGGGUGCUGCAUUUGAAACUGGGUGUCUAGAGUGCAGGAGAGGUAAGUGGAAUUCCUAGUGUAGCGGUGAAAUGCGUAGAGAUUAGGAAGAACACCAGUGGCGAAGGCGGCUCACUGGCUCGUAACUGACGCUCAGGCGCGACAGCGUGGGGAUCAAACAGG
rnacentral:rRNA from 1 species